GUCUACACUCAUGUUACCCUAAAAAAGCCCAAUCCCGUCUGACCUUGGAAGCUAAGCAGAGUUGGGCCUGGUUAGUACUUGCAUGGGAGACCAUUUAGGAAGACCAGGUGCUGUAGUCA
rnacentral:rRNA from 1 species